UAAUUCACUGCAGUAAUGUUCCUAUUUUAUCAGUGAGUUCUCCUAGUCCAGUGCAGUACCCAUCAACACGAAGCUUGCCUGCAGUGGUUCAUGACACCACUUGUGAUGCAGGAGAUUAAAUGCUUGAGAAUUGCACUGAGAAAUGUUCAGAAUGAAAAACUUCAGCUCCAGACAAAACUUGCAAAGAAUCAGCUGGACAGUUUACAGCCGCUGAAGGAAAUAUUUCCCGUGAUGGUGACCCUAAAGUUGUUAACAUCAGCUCGCGAGUUCCAGGCACUCCAGCAUGGCUGGAUAGAUUGGCACCAGCAAAUUAUCUCAUUCAGGAGGUGACUAAAUUACAGGAUUUGCAAAAGAGAGUUGAGAACUGCAGUAUGACCUCUGAAACGUUGGUUAACAUCGACCAGACUACACAGCGCAACAACCCAGAAGACGGAAAUCUUCAUACUCACCGCUCUGAAAACUUCAAAUUCUACAAGAUUUGAGUGAAUUACCUGGAUUGAAAACAAUUUAAUAUCCCCAGAAAUAAACUUUGUCACAAUCCAUUGUCAUUUUCACUAGAGUGAAUUUGUAUUUGAAAAUCUCUGUAGAGGGGGCUGGUAGAUUAGACAUCAGUCAUAUCUGUCUAUGAAUUUUUCUGCUCACAGAUUGUUGCUUUCACUUCUGCCAAAGAUAAAAACUUUGAGAAUCGUAAGAAUACUAGGCUCCUAGCAUGAUUUGGAUCUCAUGUCAGACUGCAGGUAUUUGUGCUGACCAUGAUGCUCAUGAUCACCCUAUCAGUCAGAGUAUUGGAAUUUUCUGUAUGGUGUUUUCACCUCAGAAACAGAUUCUGCCCCUUGCAUAGUGCUUCGUGCUAAUUUCAUUGUGCUGUAGUUUCCGAUCCUGGCUGUCCUUUCGUGGAGUUGCUUUCAUAAAUUAUUCGAAGAUUUUUAGGUUAUGGAUAUGUUUGGUAGUGAUGAGUGAUAAACAGUGACCUGUGAUUUUGUCACUGUGAUCAGAAAAUCACGAUCACUGGAGUGGUUAAAGUGCUCACUAAACAGUGAUCACACUGAUUCUUAAUUUCUUAUGCAUCCUAGCGAGAACACGGUAGACUUAUUUUGACUGCUCAGAGAAAUUUAGAGUCAGAUCACAGUGAUUCUCAGUAAUUUCUUAUGCAUGCUAGUGAGAAAACGGGACACUACAGUAUUUUGACAGCUCAGUUCUACUGUCUGUAAAUAUUAAAUAAACGAUUUCUAUACA